CUGACAGAAGAGAGUGAGCACACAUAGCAGGAGCUCAUGAGACUAUGAGUUCAGCCAUGCGUGCUCACGUCUCUUUCUGUCAG
rfam:Picea glauca, whole genome shotgun sequence.